AUUGAACGCUGGCGGCAGGCCUAACACAUGCAAGUCGAGCGAGCGGCGGACGGGUGAGUAAUGUCUGGGAAACUGCCUGAUGGAGGGGGAUAACUACUGGAAACGGUAGCUAAUACCGCAUACCAUCGGAUGUGCCCAGAUGGGAUUAGCUUGUAGGUGAGGUAACGGCUCACCUAGGCGACGAUCCCUAGCUGGGCUGAGAGGAUGACAAUCCACACCGGAACUGAGACACGGCCCAGACUCCUACGGGAGGCAGCAGGGGGGAAUCUUGCACAAUGGGCGCAAGCCUGAUGCAGCCAUGCCGCGUGUAUGAAGAAGGACUUCGGGUUGUAAAGUACUUUCAGCGGGGAGGCGUUACCCGCAGAAGAAGCACGUGCUAACUCCGUACCAGCCGCCGCGGUAAUUC
rnacentral:rRNA from 1 species